ensembl:lncRNA
GGCGCAGCGCCGCCCCGCGGCAGCCUCCGAGCGCCACGGACUUCGCCCUGUGCGCCAUCCUGAGCGGCCCCCGGCCCCCGCGCGCACCCGGGGCCGCUCGGGUGCACCCGCCGAUCCGCGCGAGUCCCCGCGCACCUGCCCCGAGACCGGGGCUCUUCGCCGCUCGUCUAAACCACCACGCGGUGCGACUCCCGACUUGCCCGUGUAGCCCGCUGAAGCGUGAGGUCCCCGCUGGCCUCGCCACGACCCUGCGCGCGCCCCGCUGGGGCCUGAUUAGCGUGCGGCCACGCAGACAGCAGGAAAUAGAAAGUCUCAGGAAACCAUUGCCGAGGGCGGGCCACGGCGGUAUGCCGAAUUACAUCUACAUGGCUAACAGGUUCAUCUAAUCAAACACAGCCAGAACUGAUUCCUUACUCUGAAAUAUACACAUGGCUAAACAAAACAGAAAGUGGAUGACUAGAAUAUGGAUUUCCAUGUAAACUGGUUCAACUGCUAUGGAAAAUAAUAUGACAGUUCCUCAAAAAAAGUAAAAAUAGAUCUACUGUAUCAUCCAGCAAGUCUGCUUCUGGAUGUAUACCCAAAGGAAAUUAAAACAAGACAUCAAAGAGAUAAGAUUACUCCAAAGUUUACUGAAACGUUAUUCACAACAGCCAACAUAUGGAAACAACCUCAGUGCCCAUGAAUGGAUGUGUGGUGCAUGGAUGAAGAUGUGAUAUAUAUAUAUAUAUAU